ensembl:lncRNA
CAGAAUUCAUAUAAAAUCUUGUAAGCCUCAUUUCUUCUGAUACGAUCCUGAUUUUACAUAAAAGAAAAUUCAUCUCAACUGCUCGGAGAGGUCCCUAAGUUGGGCUAACCUCUGCUGGAGGUCAUCCAAACAAGUGCAAGCCCUGAAGCAGGAAGUUCUGACUUGAGGCUGAAAGAUAGUGUUACUUCUGGGGGAAUUGCUCACAGAAUAUUUAUCUUGGAAAGCCUCACUUGGUCACAUCUCUACUGGCUUUGGAGAUGGGAGCUGCAUGUGCAUAAUCCUUCUGCACAAUUUAGUCUUCUUUGAAAUGACAGGUCUAUCUAGCUGGC